GAUGAACGCUGGCGGCGUGCCUAACACAUGCAAGUCGAACGGGAUGCGUAUCGGAAAGCUUCGGCCGGAAGAUACGUUAUCUAGUGGCGGACGGGUGAGUAACACGUGGGUAACCUGCCUUAUGGAGGGGGAUAACAGAGAGAAAUCACUGCUAAUACCGCAUAAGCACACAGUACCGCAUGGUACAGGGUGAAAAGAUUUAUCGCCAUAAGAUGGACCCGCGUCUGAUUAGCCAGUUGGCAGGGUAAAAGCCUACCAAAGCAACGAUCAGUAGCCGAUCUGAGAGGAUGACCGGCCACAUUGGGACUGAGACACGGCCCAAACUCCUACGGGAGGCAGCAGUGGGGAAUAUUGCACAAUGGGGGAAACCCUGAUGCAGCGACGCCGCGUGAGUGAAGAAGUAUUUCGGUAUGUAAAGCUCUAUCAGCAGGGAAGAUAAUGACAGUACCUGACUAAGAAGCCCCGGCUAACUACGUGCCAGCAGCCGCGGUAAUACGUAGGGGGCAAGCGUUAUCCGGAUUUACUGGGUGUAAAGGGAGCGUAGACGGAGUGGCAAGUCUGAAGUGAAAACCCUGGGCUUAACCUAGGGACUGCUUUGGAAACUGUUAAUCUAGAGUGUUGGAGAGGUAAGUGGAAUUCCUGGUGUAGCGGUGAAAUGCGUAGAUAUCAGGAAGAACACCGGAGGCGAAGGCGGCUUACUGGACAAUAACUGACGUUGAGGCUCGAAAGCGUGGGGAUCAAACAGG
rnacentral:rRNA from 1 species